rnacentral:sRNA from 12 species
GCCGAUGCUUUAGAUAGAUUCGGAAGGCGUGCUUCCGGGGCGGCGAUAGCGCGAUUGCAAGGCGUUGUUGCCGUUUACAUA